CAAUAACUCCAUUAAAUUUUGAGUUAUUAACAUGAAUCUCUUCACUGCUCUUUAAUUGGUGAUAAAAAAAAAAUUGAGCACUGCAGUAUUGCACGUGAGUGUGGCCCACCACUAGGUGUCACUAAUAGUCAAGUUAUUUUUUUUUCUCACAGAGAUUGACAGUAUCAUCCCAUUACAAAAAGUUUUCUAAAUGUAACUGAUGUGUUUUGAAUUUUGAAUUCAGCCUCACCUGUUUUGAAAGUUUACUGUCGAAUGUGGAUGUGCAAGCUGUCAAAAAAAUAUCAUCCUGGUGGCCUACAAAGUGCCAUUUUAUGUUCCACCUCAGCAGCGCUCCCCGCUGAGAAGUGACACUCCAAAAGAAAGUGAAACCACGCGGGGUUAUACAUGAAUGGUUGUACGAAGACGCGAGCCAAGUGUGUCUCAUCUACGAAGACGGCACCAAAACAAAAGCAGAACGCAGCUAUCUCAUCCAGAAACCAGGCGGAAUUCGCAACAUCUCUGCUCGACAGCUCCUCCUCAUAAUCGAUGUGACAAGUCAAGAUGAAUCGCUUCAUUUAUCUGCUGAUCGUUAAUUCAAGAUGAUGCAAUGUUGCCAUCUACUGGGAUAUGUAAGUCAUUACAGUUGUUUACCAACCAUGAAUUUCAUCGACAAUCUGUACAAAAAUCCUCUUUCAAUGCCUAUCCCUUUGAAAAACUUAUUUGACCUAAAUAUUCAUGGGUGGCAGCAAACGGCUGGAUUCCACUUGAUGAAUUUAAACAUCCAUGGCAGGGAAUGAGGUUAUAAAACCAGUUUAUUUGACAUUUGCUUUUACGCUCUUUAUGUUUUCAUAUUUGUAUUUUACAGUAGAGAGCGAUUUUCUCUUUAUGAAAAAUGUAAACAAAACAAGUGGUGAUUUGGAAAGUCUCUGAACUGAUAUAUGGCAUUUUAAUUCAUGUCCAGGAAGAAAAUGCAAUUUUAUAUGAGUAAAUUGAUAAAAUGAUAUUGGUCAUACAACAUGUUAAACUCGUAAGUCAAGUCCCACAUGUGUCAGGAAUAUCUCGUACAACCACUUUCCAAGGUUCUACAUUCUCAGGACACUCAGGACAGAGCUAUUUACAUGAUUUACUGUAACUGCAAGCACCAAAAAGCGAAGAUGAACAUGAACGAGGGGGAAAAAAAUGGAUGUCCCAACAUCCGUCACCUCGCAUCACGGCCGUUACAUCAGCGUCUUGGAGCGUUUGACCCCUCGCUGCUCCCUCUGUCCCACUGACUGCACAGUAGCCCCGGAGGGAGACGAAGGGGUCAGUUUGGCUACCGCGGAGGUCUUGUCUCUCUAGCCUCGCUUCUUUGUCUCCCUUCAGCCCUAAAAUGUAAGCGCCACAGCCGGCCGGCUGCUCCAGGCAGUUACCCAGCUGAGAGGCAGCCAGUGGAAAAGGAAGAAAAUAAGAGAAGGGACAGAACGCCCUGAUGUGAGCAAAAGACGGAUGACGUUUACUCAAGCAACGAACAAGCUGGGCUACACAGGCAGAGAGUUCAAACAGAGCUGAAGAGACAGAGGUGACAACCAGAAUCUAAAUCGGUGGAGACAAAAGUCUAAAACGGGGGAAGGGAAACAGCGGUGGACUUUAGCUCACAACCCUAAAGGCCAUCGUGGACCAGUCCUCCAAAUGUCAGCACCACCCUGAGAGGGCAGCGAGACCCCCGAUGGGAACACUGGAAAAACAGAUACCAACUGACAGUGGACAGCCCAGUUGGCACUCAUGCACAUCCUCUCGCACUCAAUUUCAUCGACCUCACUAGUUGUGUUACCAUGACUGAACCCUAACCCACUUGGCUCACAGGCAACGAGAGUCUUCCCCCACAGACCAUUGCGCCACAACGUCAUAGUUCUUCCUGGGAGCAGAAAAUGGAGCCCAACACGUUAUUUAACCAAGGCAUCAACACCUGUUCUUUUGUGUCUCCAGCAGGUGGCAGUGGAGGGCAUUCCCUCCCAUUGUGCGCACCUGCUGCCAAUUUGGUCAUCAAGUUACGCAAGUAUUUAAGGACUGCCAAGAUUCCAUGUCUCUGUCAGAUUAUUGACCUGGUUGCUGCUCUUGCUCAAGUGUUGUUUUCUAGACCUUUUGAUCUCGUCAUUGUCGUUUUUGCUCUCUAAACUCUCGCCUUAGAAUUAUUUGUUAUUUUGUCUUUGAUCUUGCUCGUGUUUUCGUUUUGCGAAAUUGGCAUUUCAUCUAUCUCUGAUUUUCUAUUUCCUUGCCUUUACAAGCGCUUUUUUGCUCAUGUAUUGUAUUUCCUUUGUUUUGGUUUUUUGGUUUUUUUUUUUUGUUUUUUUUUUUACCAGCGAUUUCUGUUUGUACUUUCUCGGCGCACUUUUGUUAUUAACUAAAUAUUUUUUGUACAG